UUGUUCGCUCGCUCUCAGUGAAAAGAGUUUUGAAAUGAGUUCUGAAUAGACAGCAUUUUCUUUGUGCGGUUGGUAAAUAACACAGAGCAAAGUUAGCAAGUUGCAGCGCUUCUGCAUUCUGAUUCUAUGGAACCUUUUUGUAGGGAGAAGGGCAGGAUGUUUUUAACAGAAUGUGACCUCACUGGAAUACUAGAGAAAGCAAUAACAUUUCUGAAUGAGGCAGUGUGGAGAAAUCCUAAGAGAAAUAGCAUAAGAGCAUUUUGGAAUAUAUCCCGGAAAAGAUAACUUUCUACACAUCUGUAGAGAUUCACCAGGUUAAGGAGAUUGGAGGAGGGAAGGCCAAUUAUAGCAAGACUCAAAACUCAACCACCCACAAAAGGAGGAUUUGAUAGGUAAAACUGACAGAAGUU